CAGGAAGUGGUCCCCCUCUUAGCCUGGUCCCAGAUCUGUUUGUAAAGAACCAUAACAGGAAGUGGUCCCCCUCUUAGCCUGGUCCCAGAUCUGUUUGUAAAGAACCAUAACAGGAAGUGGUCCCCCUCUUAGCCUGGUCCCAGAUCUGUUUGUAAGGCUAAGAGUGGAGGCUAGUCCACCCUCUCUCCUUUACAUCCCUGUUCUCCUCUCCAAGCCAAUCUCCAGGUUUAGUGUUGCACAAUUCCCCUAAUUCUGAAUCUCCCUAGCCAGGCUUCAGCUUCAGGACUGUUCUGAAUCUCCCUGGUCAGGUUUCACCUUCAGGAAUGUUCUGAAUCUCCCUGGUCAGGUUUCACCUUCAGGACUGUUCUGAAUCUCCCUGGUCAGGUUUCAGCUUCAGGACUGUUCUGAAUCUCCUUGGUCAGGUUUCAGCUUCAGGACUGUUCUGAAUCUCC
ensembl:lncRNA